GAGCCGUACUGUUAUGAAGUCUGCUUUCAUCAUUCGAUUUUCAUGUUUGUUAGCCCAAGAUUGUCCUCGGAUGUAUGACCAGAAUGGCGAACUCAAAGCAGCCUUCAAAUGGCCACAAUUAUAGGCCGGAAUGUGAUGACAUGCUUCCCAGCGUUGAACAAAUUCUCAACGAAAAAAUAUCGUUGUUUGAACGAGCAUUGAACACGGCCCAUGGUCAGCAAGAGCGGCGACGGGUCGAGGAGAUACGCACAAGUUGCGAGGAUCGAGUCGACAAGUUCGCAACGGCACUCACGAAAGCAUGCGAGACAACGUCUGAAAAAAUGAUACGGCAAAUGGAUGAGAAAACAAAGCUACUUCUUGCUGAAAAGGAGCGGGAAAUGGAGGAAGACAGCCGGAAGAAGUCGGAAGAGUUCGCGAGGCGCUGCCUGCGAGCACGGGAAAAUUUACAAACAGAGCUGGAAAAAGAAGCCGAUCGAGAGGCGACCAGGUUGAAAAACAAGGUAGACGAGGCCACAGGGAAACUCCGGUCAGAUUAUACGCAGGAUCAUAGCAAGCGGUGCUCAUCGCUGGCAGACUCCGUCAGGCGGGAUGCAGCGGCGACCUUGGCUGCGGACGAGGCGGCCGUCAUGCGGAAGCAUCGUCAGCGCAUGCUGGAUACCAUAGCCAGCACGACCCAGCGAUACGAUUUCCUGCUGCGGGAUGUGGAGCGUCGCUCGAUGGACGACCACCUGCACUUGUCGGCCCAGCUGCUCGAGCUGCAACUGUCGCAGUCGUUGGGAGCAGCGGAGAUGGAAAUGCUUGAACAUACCCGCCAGUGGUGCGGGCGAAUGGGUCAGCCGCUUCAGGCCCUGGGCGAUGCUGUGCCUGAGCUGGGCGAAGUGCGACAACGGCUGGAAGCAAGGCAUCACCUGCGGAAGUACAAGCUGAAAGCUCCAGACUUGUGACCACUGUGUGUGCCGCUGUGCAGGCACUGCUACAGGGCGCAAACUUGACUCACAAUUGCUACCGGCGAAGGUCGUCCAACGCCACCUUCGAACCAACCAGUGCCUCCUUACAACCCAUUGAUGAUACCGUCAGCACCACUCCUCUGUGGAUGCCCUCUGCCUUCCCACUGACAGUCUCUUCGCUGCCAAGGACAGGGGAAAUGUGACCGGACUAUGCACAUUGGACAUGUCGAAAGCAUUUUGACAAAGUCUGCCACACCCAGCUCAUUGUUGAUCUGUUUGAUGUCGGUGUGUGCGAAUCGCCCCCGCCUGGUUUGUAAGCUACCUGACGACGCAAGAGCAGAUGGUUUGCAUUGGGCCAACCACGAGUCAGGCCACCCCCUGCAUGUGCGGGGUGCCGCAAGGAUCUGUUCUAGGUCCUGUGCUAUUUUCCAUUUACAUGUACACCCGCCACAUUCCCUCCGUCCUGCACCCUGUACCCAGCAUCCAGUUUGCAGAUAGCAUAGCAUUGUAUUCAUCGCAGAGUUCUGCUGGCGCUGCCCUGUGCUACGUUCAACCAAGAGUACAUAACCCCCCAGAGUGUGCAACGCCUGAUCCAGCUCUGCAUAGGGUCUUGGUCGAGCGUAAUUGGAUCUUCUGAUGUCAUGCGUACACUCCACACCAGCACAAGGCCGGUCUCGAGGCAGAGUACCGUUGAUUUUGAUCCGAGAGUACCCGCGACUCCCCGGGUUCCCCUCAGAUGUGCACAGUAUGUAUAAUAUGACGCAAAGAUCCGAUUAUGCUCGACCAAGACCCUAUGCAGAGCCGGAUCAGGUGUUGCACACUCUGGGGGGUUAUGUACUCUUGGUUCAACGGAACGUCCAACCUGAAAUGCUAAGAACGCCACAGCCUAAAUGACGGUGUUGGUUUUCCGGCAGCUUUUGGAAUAUUUAAUGAUCCAAUACAAAUUGUUUCUAAGAACGUGCUAUCAGAAGGCAGCAAGAUUGCUGAAAGAUAAGAAUGCCCCAGGCUAACCCCAUGGAAACAAGUUAGGGCGUCCAACUCUACUGUAAACAGUCUGCGCUGUACAUCAUCACAUCUCUUUGCUGUACAUCAUCACAUCUCUUUGCUGUACAUCAUCACAUCUCUUUGCUGUACAUCAUCACAUCU